UGGGGAAUAUUGCACAAUGGGGGAAACCCUGAUGCAGCGACGCCGCGUGGGCGAGGAAGUACCUCGGUAUGUAAAGCCCUAUCAGCAGGGAAGAAACAGGACAGUACCUGACUAAGAAGCCCCGGCUAACUACGUGCCAGCAGCCGCGGUAAUACGUAGGGGGCAAGCGUUAUCCGGAUUCACUGGGCGUAAAGGGAGCGCAGGCGGCAUGGCAAGUCUGAUGUGAAAACCCGGGGCCCAACCCCGGGAGUGCAUUGGAAACUGCCAGGCUGGAGUGUCGGAGGGGUAAGCGGAAUUCCUAGUGUAGCGGUGAAAUGCGUAGAUAUUAGGAGGAACACCAGUGGCGAAGGCGGCUUACUGGACGACUACUGACGCUGAGGCUCGAAAGCGUGGGGAGCAAACAGG
rnacentral:rRNA from 1 species